AUCCAAGGUGACUCGCUCUCCAAGGGAGUCUUAGUGCACCUCUCAGGAAAGCACCAACUUGGAGUGAGAUCUGGUACGCCCAGGGUCUUCCGGGCCAGUGGCUGCAGUUUCCUCUGCCUGCCAUGGGCUGCCUACAUGU
rfam:Tupaia chinensis contig95364, whole genome shotgun sequence.